rnacentral:rRNA from 1 species
AACGAACGCUGGCGGCAUGCCUAACACAUGCAAGUCGAACGAGACCUUCGGGUCUAGUGGCGCACGGGUGCGUAACGCGUGGGAACCUGCCCUUAGGUUCGGAAUAACUCCCCGAAAGGGGUGCUAAUACCGGAUAAUGUCUUCGGACCAAAGAUUUAUCGCCUUUGGAUGGGCCCGCGUUGGAUUAGCUAGUUGGUAGGGUAAAAGCCUACCAAGGCGACGAUCCAUAGCUGGUCUGAGAGGAUGAUCAGCCACACUGGGACUGAGACACGGCCCAGACUGUGGAGGAGGGACGAAGGGGGACAUAGUGCAGAUGGGGGGAAGGUCUGGCAAAGAGACGCGGGUGAGGGAAAGAGGGCGUUAGGGUUGAAAUGCUCUUGUCCCGUGUAGGAUAACGAAAGUGCGGGGAGAAUAAGCCCCGGACAACUGCGCGCCAGCAGCCGCGGUAAUAGGAGGAGGAGCAGGGUGCUGAAC